rnacentral:lncRNA from 1 species
UAGGAUAAAAAUUUUGUAAUCCGAUUCAAUUUAUUCGGAUUAAAUCGGAUUCGAAUCAAUCCGAUCAAAUUGCACUUGUAAUUAAAAAGAAUAUAUGAAUUAAAUAUAAAUAAGAAAUAAAAAUUAUCAGACCUCCUAAAUCCUUAAUAUCCUCAAAUCAGAAUAGAAAGGACGGAGAUUGGAGAAGCAACUUGCAGCCGUAUCACCCACGAACCCAGCCAAUCUCUUUUGGGAAAAAGCCGGCUUGCUGUCCAGUCGGCGACGCCCCAGGUGCACGCCGACGACGUCCUAAUCAACGGCCGCUGAGCUCGUGAGCCGCACGUUGCCACGCUACCAGCCGAAGCCGCAUGCAAAAGUCUCAUUCCCAGCCUCUGCAUUUUAUUUGUUUAUUGCAAGGGUUUCCAAUGGAGUCGGAUCCAGCAAAGCUUGCGAGGCGUAGAGGUUAUAAGCAUAGAUACUUUGACUUUGAAAAACUUGCAGGGUUUUGGGUGUUUUGAAUUGCUUGGGAAUCUGUUUUUGAUUUUGCCGGCAUGUCAUGUGUUUAGAGAAUGAAAUAGAGUCAUGAAGAUAAAUGUGUUUGCUCAUACAUUAUUGUGCUCCCCUCUAGAGUAAAAGCGAGCAAAUGGUUGAGCAGAUCAUCUCGACCAGGAUGCUAUUGGUCACAUAGACCAGAAUAAUAUGUGGUGACCUCGAGCACAUCACCUCGACCAGGAUGUUAUUGGUCACCUCGACCAGGAAAUUACCAGAAAGCACGAUUCAGUCAAAAUAUUUUCUCCGAAAUAUUAGGGACCAUAUUCUUAGUGGGCUGAAAAUUAAUUGUUUUAUUGAGAAUCCUAGGGGAGAGGAUAAAAAACGCUAUAGUUUCCUAUAAAAAGGGGAAAGGGGGAUUUCUUCGGGCUCUCUCUCUCUCUCUCUAAGCAACUGAACCCAUUGGACAUUUUUCUCUCUCUACCACAGAAAAAUUUCUCUUUCGCCUGUGAUUUCUUUAAGAUUGAUUAUUUUGAAUUCUUUUCCUUUAAAUUUACUUAAAAGCUUUUUGUUUAAGGCAAUCAUAAUUAAGCCACAUGAAUUGUGGUAUGGAUUUUUCUAAAUAAGACUCGAAUCGCUGACUUGAGCGUCGGAGGGUUCUCGCCGGAAAAACUUCCGGCACCUCCUGACUGUUGGUUGUGUCCACAGGCUCACAGGUUAUCUGCUCAUGGAUCGUCUGCUCAUGGGUUAUCUGCUCAUGGAUUGUCUACUCAUGGGUUAUCUGCUCAUGGAUCGUCUGCUCAUGGGUUAUCUGCUCAUGGAUCGUCUGCUCACUGGUUAUCUGCUCAUAUGUUUGUCUGCUCAUGGGUUAUCUGCUCAUGGAUCGUCUGCUCAUGGGUUAUCUGCUCAUGGAUCGUCUGCUCACGGGUUAUCUGCUCAUAUGUUUGUCUGCUCAUGAGUUCUCUGCUUAUGGAUUGUCUGCUCAUGGGUUGUCUGCUCACAGAACAUCUGCUCAUUGAAAAUCUGCUCAUGGUGCUAACUAAUCAUCAGCUUCACACCAAACAAAUUUAAUGAUAAUACAGGGAUCUGAGAUCUGACCAACUUAUCCGGAUUUCUCGGCAUCAACAUCAUGCUUCUUGGUUUUUUGGUGAUUGUAAAGUUAAUUGAUUGUUUGCAUUAGCUUUCCUACUGUUUGGGAGGGAUACUGUUUGGGACAAAUGCGUCGAAGGGACCAGGAAUGACGAGCAGAUAUCUGAUGGCGGAGUUCUGCGAACCGGUGUGUUCCGUUAAAGCCUGGCGCGUGGAAGAACAGGAGCAGAAACAUCCUGCUCGUCCACGAUGUUGUCGUCCACGAGGCCAAUUCCUAUAAAAGGCAUAAGGCCAUUCCGGCUAGAGAUCGAGAGGCGAGGAGACCCGGUCGACGGCAGUUGGCAAGACGUGCUCUCCAGCACGAGAAUCUAGGCACAACAGCCACACUUUCCCCAGAACCGUGGCGUAACACGCAAGGUCUCACAGAGCCAUGACAGCCACACUUUCCCCAGAACCGUGGCGUAACACGCAAGGUCUCACAGAGCCAUGGCAGCCACGCUUUCCCCUGAACCGUGGCGUAACACGCUAGAUCCCAUGUUUUGCCCAUAACGCAGCAGUUGGAGUCCCAUACCGUCUCGAAAAGAGCGGAAGACUGAGAUUCAGAGGAAGCCUAUAAAAAGGUAGCCAACGAAGGUAAAAGGGUUGGCAUUCUUGAGAAAAGGGGAGAAAACCACAAGAAACGCCAUAAGACCUGUGGCAAGCUUUUCCCGAACCUUCAUAUCUGACUUGAGCGUCGGAGGGUUUGCGCCGGGAAAACAACCGGCGUACUCUGACUUAUCUGUGUACGCAGGGACCUCUGGAGAAGAAGCCUGGCGAGGAGACCUCCUGGUCGUGACGAAGUUGAUCGAGCAGAGAUCCUGAUCGUAGAACGAGGAGAACCGGAAUCUCGCAUCAACACCUACCUUUGGGAUGCAGUUGUUACUGAAGAUCUUAACAGAAUAAUUGAUGUGAAAAUGAACAGAAUUUCUUUUUGUCUUUCUUUUUUCCAUUUGCUGGCUUGCUCCAUUUUCCUUUUUCAUUUGUGGGAUUUCGAUUUCGUAUUGCAACUUGAAAUGAUCUGGACUCAUCUCCUUUAUUCGAACACAUCCGAAUCUGAUUUCAAUCUAAUAUUACCGAUCCGAUCCGAUCCGAAUCGGAAGUAAUCCGAACUAGUCAUCCAAUAUUCGGAUCGGAUUUAAGUUCGGAUUGCAUUCGGAUAUUUUUAUCAAUCCGAAUAAUCCGAAAUCAGGUCCGGAUUAAUUCGAAUCCGAUCCGCAUGCCCACCCUAAAUCCUAUUAAGACGAG